rnacentral:rRNA from 1 species
GACAAACAGAUCAAGUUAAGCUAUAGUUGGUACAAAAGGAAGUAAGAGAUACAGUUUGAAAAAAAGAUUUUUUUUUGUAGAGGUGGAAUUUGCGCAAGAAAAAGCGGAUUAUUGUUUUUCUUUAUUCUUGAUACUUCGAAAUUAAGAUUGGAGACCGGGAUUAGAUACCCCGUUAUUUUUAUGGUAAACUUUGGUUAUUCCUACCUGAGUAUUACGGGCAAAAAUAAAAUAAUAAAUGAACUAUUUAUUUAGUAUUUGCUUAGCUUAAAACUCAAAAAACUUGGCGGUGCCUUAUUUCUUUCCAGGGGAACCUGUCCUAUAAUCGAUAAUCCACGUUUGAACUUACUUUUUUUUGUAAUGAUUUUUGUCAGUUUGUAUACCGUCGUCGUCAGAUUACCUUUAAAAGACUAGGAGUUGUCGGAAAAAUUUUAUUAAAUGAAAGAGAUUAAGUCUUAAAAUAGUCUUGGUUCAAUCAGGUUUAUCGUUUAAUAUAUUUUGAUGUCAGAUCAAGGUGCAGCUAAUAAAAAAGAAGAGAUGGGUUACAGUAUAUAAUUAGUUUGAAUUUUAAGUUGUAAAUCUUAAAUGAAAGUGGACUUGGAAGUAAUAUGUAAAUUAGAGUAAAUUAGAAAGUUAAUGUGAAUAUUUUGUACUAAGGCGCGU